rnacentral:rRNA from 1 species
ACUGGUGUGGUGGUUGUUGCUGGCCCUCUCGGGGGCAUGUGCACACCCACCAUCCUCAUCUCUCCACCUGUGCACCUCUUGUAGACCUGGAUAGACUUUCCGAGGCAACUCGGUCGGGAAGAUUGCUGCGCUCUGUGAGCCAGCUUUCUUUGCAUGUCCAGGCCUAUGUUUUUCAUAUACCCCUAUAGAAUGUAACAGAAUGUAUCAUUGGGCCUUGUGCCUAUAAACCUUAUACAACUUUCAGCAACGGAUCUCUUGGCUCUCGCAUCGAUGAAGAACGCAGCGAAAUGCGAUAAGUAAUGUGAAUUGCAGAAUUCAGUGAAUCAUCGAAUCUUUGAACGCACCUUGCGCUCCUUGGUAUUCCGAGGAGCAUGCCUGUUUGAGUGUCAUUAAAUUCUCAACCUUAUUAGCUUUUGUUGAUAAUGGAUUGGAUGUGGGGGUUUAUUUUGCUGGCUUCUUCAGAGAUCAGCUCCCCUUAAAUGCAUUAGCUGGUGCCCCGCGUGGACCAUCUAUUGGUGUGAUAAUUAUCUACGCCGUGGAUGUCUGCAAUCAUAUGGGUUUUGCACUGCUUNUAACCGUCUGUUCAUUCGGACAAUAUAUGACAAUUUGACCUCAAAUCAGGUAGGACUACCCGCUGAACUUAAGCAUAUCAAUAAGCGGAGGAAAAGAAACUAACAAGGAUUCCCCUAGUAACUGCGAGUGAAGCGGGAAAAGCUCAAAUUUAAAAUCUGGCGGUCUCCGGCCGUCCGAGUUGUAAUCUAGAGAAGUGUUAUCCGCGCUGGACCGUGUAC